ACUCCUACGGGAGGCAGCAGUGGGGAAUUUUGGACAAUGGGCGAAAGCCUGAUCCAGCAAUGCCGCGUGUGUGAAGAAGGCCUUCGGGUUGUAAAGCACUUUUGUCCGGAAAGAAAUCCUUGGCUCUAAUACAGUCGGGGGAUGACGGUACCGGAAGAAUAAGCACCGGCUAACUACGUGCCAGCAGCCGCGGUAAUACGUAGGGUGCGAGCGUUAAUCGGAAUUACUGGGCGUAAAGCGUGCGCAGGCGGUUUGCUAAGACCGAUGUGAAAUCCCCGGGCUCAACCUGGGAACUGCAUUGGUGACUGGCAGGCUAGAGUAUGGCAGAGGGGGGUAGAAUUCCACGUGUAGCAGUGAAAUGCGUAGAGAUGUGGAGGAAUACCGAUGGCGAAGGCAGCCCCCUGGGCCAAUACUGACGCUCAUGCACGAAAGCGUGGGGAGCAAACAGGAUUAGAUACCCCUGUAGUCCCA
rnacentral:rRNA from 1 species